rnacentral:rRNA from 1 species
UACGUAGGGGGCAAGCGUUGUCCGGAUUUACUGGGCGUAAAGAGCGCGCAGGCGGUCGUUCAAGUCGAGUGUGAAAGCCCCCGGCUCAACUGGGGAGGGUCACUCGAUACUGAUCGACUCGAAGGCAGGAGAGGGAAGUGGAAUUCCCGGUGUAGUGGUGAAAUGCGUAGAUAUCGGGAGGAACACCAGUGGCGAAAGCGGCGCGCUGGAUCCCUUCUGACGCUGAGGCGCGAAAGCCAGGGGAGCGAACAGG